rnacentral:ncRNA from 1 species
GAGAGCCCGGUGCCGGGAAACUGGCACGCCGGGUUCGGACGAGCGGCCGGGGGAAACGACCAGCCCAAACGCUGACACCGCGCCCCCGGCCGACUCGUAC